AUUGAACGCUGGCGGCGUGCUUAACACAUGCAAGUCGUGCGGUAACAGGCGUAGCAAUACGUGCUGACGAGCGGCGAACGGGUGCGUAAUACAUGGGAAUCUGCCUUUUAGUGGGGAAUAACCCGGCGAAAGCCGGGCUAAUGCCGCAUAAGAUCUUCGGAUGAAAGCGGGGGAUCGUAAGACCUCGCGCUGAUAGAUGAGCCCAUGCCGGAUUAGCUAGNGGUGAGGUAACGGC
rnacentral:rRNA from 1 species